rnacentral:rRNA from 1 species
GUAAGCUACUAAGAGCGAAUGGUGGAUGCCUUGACUGGUAGAGGCGAUGAAGGACGUACUAGACUGCGAUAAGCUAGGUGGAGCUGUCAAGAAGCUUUGAUGCCUAGAUUUCCGAAUGGGGCAACCCAGUAUAUAGAGAUAUAUACUACCAUAAUGGAGCGAACGAGGGGAAUUGAAACAUCUUAGUACCCUCAGGAAAAGAAAUCAAACGAGAUUGCGUCAGUAGCGGCGAGCGAAAGCGUAAGAGGGCAAACCCAGUGCUUGCACUGGGGGUUGUAGGACUGCAAUGUGCAAAAGGAAAGGUUAGCAGAACACUCUGGAAAGUGUAGCCAUAGAGGGUGAUAGUCCCGUAUGCAAAAACCUAACCUUAGCUAGCAGUAUCCUGAGUAGGGCGGGACACGAGAAAUCCUGUCUGAAGCUGGGUAGACCACUAUCCAACCCUAAAUACUACUACCAGAUCGAUAGCGAACAAGUACCGUGAGGGAAAGGUGAAAAGAACGGCGGUGAGCCGAGUGAAAUAGAACCUGAAACCAUUUGCUUACAAUCAUUCAGAGCACUAUGUAGCAAUACAGUGUGAUGGACUGCCUUUUGCAUAAUGAGCCUGCGAGUUGUGGUGUCUGGCAAGGUUAAGCUAACGCGAAGCCGUAGCGAAAGCGAGUCUGAAUAGGGCGCUAAGUCAGAUGCUGCAGACCCGAAACGAAGUGAUCUAUCCAUGAGCAGGUUGAAGCUAGUGUAAGAACUAGUGGAGGACCGAACCCGCUAGCGUUGAAAAGCUAUGGGAUGACUUGUGGAUAGGGGUGAAAGGCCAAUCAAACUUCGUGAUAGCUGGUUCUCUCCGAAAUAUAUUUAGGUAUAGCGUUGUGUCGUAACUAAAGGGGGUAGAGCACUGAAUGGGCUAGGGCAUACACCAAUGUACCAAACCCUAUCAAACUCCGAAUACCUUUAGUGUAAUCACAGCAGUCAGGCGGCGAGUGAUAAAAUCCGUCGUCAAGAGGGAAACAACCCAGACUAACAGCUAAGGUCCCCAAAUCUUACUUAAGUGGAAAACGAUGUGAAGUUACUUAAACAACCAGGAGGUUGGCUUAGAAGCAGCCAUCCUUUAAAGAAAGCGUAAUAGCUCACUGGUCUAGUGAUUUUGCGCGGAAAAUAUAACGGGGCUAAAGUAAGUACCGAAGCUUUAGCUUNNNNNNNNNNNNNNNNNNNNNNNNNNNNNNNNNNNNNNNNNNNNNNNNNNNNNNNNNNNNNNNNNNNUGGUAGGAGAGCGUUCUAUUUGCGUCGAAGGUAUACCGACAAGGAGUGCUGGAGCGAAUAGAAGUGAGCAUGCAGGCAUGAGUAGCGAUAAUUAAUGUGAGAAUCAUUAACGCCGUAAACCCAAGGUUUCCUACGCGAUGCUCGUCAUCGUAGGGUUAGUCGGGUCCUAAGCUGAGUCCGAAAGGGGUAAGCGAUGGCAAAUAGGUUAAUAUUCCUAUACCAACAUUAGUGUGCGAUGGAAGGACGCUUAGGGCUAAGGGGGCUAGCGGAUGGAAGUGCUAGUCUAAGGUCGUAGGAGGUUAUACAGGCAAAUCCGUAUAACAAUACUCCGAGAACUGAAAGGCUUUUUGAAGUCUUCGGAUGGAAAGAAGAACCCCUGAUGCCGUCGAGCCAAGAAAAGUUUCUAAGUUUAGCUAAUGUUGCCCGUACCGUAAACCGACACAGGUGGGUGGGAUGAGUAUUCUAAGGCGCGUGGAAGAACUCUCUUUAAGGAACUCUGCAAAAUAGCACCGUAUCUUCGGUAUAAGGUGUGCCUCCCUUUGUAUUAGAAUUCACUUCGAAAGCAAAGAAGGUUACAACAAAGAGUCCCUCCCGACUGUUUACCAAAAACACAGCACUCUGCUAACUCGUAAGAGGAUGUAUAGGGUGUGACGCCUGCCCGGUGCUCGAAGGUUAAUUGAUGGGGUUAGCAUUAGCGAAGCUCUUGAUCGAAGCCCGAGUAAACGGCGGCCGUAACUAUAACGGUCCUAAGGUAGCGAAAUUCCUUGUCGGUUAAAUACCGACCUGCAUGAAUGGCGUAACGAGAUGGGAGCUGUCUCAAAGAGGGAUCCAGUGAAAUUGUAGUGGAGGUGAAAAUUCCUCCUACCCGCGGCAAGACGGAAAGACCCCGUGGACCUUUACUACAGCUUGACACUGCUAUUUGGAUAAGAAUGUGCAGGAUAGGUGGGAGGCUUUGAGUAUAUGACGCCAGUUGUAUAUGAGCCAUUGUUGAGAUACCACUCUUUCUUAUUUGGGUAGCUAACCAGCUUGAGUUAUCCUCAAGUGGGACAAUGUCUGGUGGGUAGUUUGACUGGGGCGGUCGCCUCCCAAAUAAUAACGGAGGCUUACAAAGGUUGGCUCAUAGCGGUUGGAAAUCGCUAGUAGAGUAUAAAGGUAUAAGCCAGCUUAACUGCAAGACAUACAAGUCAAGCAGAGACGAAAGUCGGUCUUAGUGAUCCGGUGGUUCUGUGUGGAAGGGCCAUCGCUCAAAGGAUAAAAGGUACCCCGGGGAUAACAGGCUGAUCUCCCCCAAGAGCUCACAUCGACGGGGAGGUUUGGCACCUCGAUGUCGGCUCAUCGCAUCCUGGGGCUGGAGCAGGUCCCAAGGGUAUGGCUGUUCGCCAUUUAAAGCGGUACGCGAGCUGGGUUCAGAACGUCGUGAGACAGUUCGGUCCCUAUCUGCCGUGGGCGUAAGAAGAUUGAAGAGAUUUGACCCUAGUACGAGAGGACCGGGUUGAACAAACCACUGGUGUAGCUGUUGUUCUGCCAAGAGCAUCGCAGCGUAGCUAAGUUUGGAAAGGAUAAACGCUGAAAGCAUCUAAGCGUGAAGCCAACUCUAAGAUGAAUCUUCUCUAAGCUCUCUAGAAGACUACUAGUUUGAUAGGCUGGGUGUGUAAUGGAUGAAAGUCCUUUAGCUGACCAGUACUAAUAGAGCGUUUGGCUUAUCUUAUAAAUA